rnacentral:rRNA from 1 species
UAUCUCUGUAGAGUCUGCAUAUCAAUAAGCGGAGGAAAAGAAACUAACUAAGGAUUCCCUCAGUAACGGCGAGUGAAGCGGGAAGAGCUCAAAUUUGAAAUCUUCAAGGGUUCUACCUUUACGAAUUGUAGUUUAAAGAAGUGUUUUCUGUUGAGGUUUUGGUAAAAGUUCUUUGGAAUAGGACAUCAUAGAGGGUGAGAAUCCCGUAUUUGACCAUUACUUUCCAGCGUUGUGAUACACUUUCAAAGAGUCGGAUUGUUUGGGAAUGCAGUCCAAAAUGGGUGGUAAAUUUCAUCUAAAGCUAAAUACUGGCGAGAGACCGAUAGCGAACAAGUACCGUGAGGGAAAGAUGAAAAGAACUUUGAAAAGAGAGUUAAACAGUACGUGAAAUUGUCAAAAGGGAAGCGUUUGACACCAGUGUUGUUUUCUCGAAAAUCAAUUAAAAAAGGCAGGAUUUUGUAUUGUAAUUGACCUUUAUCAGCUUACUGCUACUCUUUUCUUGUCUUUUUUAAUGCACUUUUCGUUUAACAAGUCAACAUCAAUUUCUUUUGUUGUAAAAGAGUCAUUGGAAGGUGGCUUUCACUUUCGGUGAAAGUGUUUAUAGCCUUUGGCCUUCUGCAAUCGGAGAGAUUGAGGUCUGCAGCGUAGAUCCUUCGGGGCUAGAUACGUAGAUGCUAAGUUAUAGUUUUUUAUAGACAACUUGUUGACUAUAAUUAAUCAUGUAGCUUACUCGUUUGCGCUAUUUUACCUACGCUUAGGAUGUUGACGAUCAGCUGAGCGCG